GCCGGGUGUGGUGGCUCACGCCUGUAAUCCCAACACUUUGGGAGGCUGAGGCGGGUGGAUCACUUGAGGUCAGGAGUUUGAGACCAGCCUGGCCAACAUGGUGAAACCCCGUCUCUA
ensembl:misc_RNA Metazoa_SRP Metazoan signal recognition particle RNA